rnacentral:misc_RNA from 1 species
GAUGAAGAACGCAGCGAAAUGCGAUAAGUAAUGAGAAUUGCAGAAUUCAGUGAAUCAUCGAAUCUUUGAACGCACAUUGCGCCCAUUAGUAUUCUAGUGGGCAUGCCUGUUCGAGCGUCAUUAAGUCCACUUAAGCCCUGCUUAGUGUUGGGAGACUGCUCCAGCGGUGCUACCCUGUAGCUACCCUGCAGCUCCUCAAAGACAGCGGCGGAGUUGUGGUAUCCUCUGAGCUUAGUAACUUGUUCUAGCUUUCGAGUACACCACUUCCCCUGCCGUAAAACCCUUAAUUUUUAAUGGUUGACCUCGGAUCAGGUAGGAAUACCCGCUGAACUUAAGCAUAUCAAUAAGCGGAGGA